rnacentral:tRNA from 1 species
UCCCUAGUAGUUCAGUUGGUAAAGAAUCUGCCUGUAAUGCAGGAGACCCAGGUUCAACCCCUGGGUUGGGAA